GCACACAACAAUGCCAGCCCUGAUUUCUCUGCUCUCCCUCAGAAUUCGACGAAAAAUCUGGAUGUUUGUGACAAGACAGCUAUGAGGGCAUCGACAAAGGCUGUUCUUAUUCUUUUAGCAAAAUGUAGAGAGUUUUAUUUAAACUUUUCAUCCUGCCUUUAGCAUUAUCGUUAUUUUGUGUAUUCCUGCUGUGGGUAAAGCCACAUCCGAACAAAAAGAUGAGUUCAGUGCGUCGGUAAUAAAAUGUAUUUAGUCUACGUCGAAAAUAACCUAGAUUCAUGCCUAACUUGGACGAAAUUCUGAAUAUGACUGAAAGUUAACAAAUCGUGGAUAGCCUAUAGUCAUGGGGGUACACUUGAAUUUGGGGUAUAUAAACUAAUAACGUUUAGAUUAAUUGUUUAACAUGAGAGCAGGUGAGCCAGUCUUCGUGUUUGUCUAGUGAGGUGCUGCGCGCAUUUCCCGCGGAAAGAACGAAGCGGAGUGUUGGAGAACGGUGGAGAACUGCGAAGUGAUCUGUGCUGGGGAUUACGCCUACCAACACCGCAGACAAGCCAGGGGCGCCGAUAUGGGUUCCAGGCUGUGUGAUGGACGACCGGCGCACCUCAUCCUCCUCCUGCUCCUCGUGCUCCAGGCCAUGCUGCCGCUCUGCUCUGGUGAACGCACCUGCCCUCACAGCUGCCGUUGUGAGGGGAAGAUAGUCCACUGCGAGUCAGCUGGCUUCUUGGACGUCCCUGAGAACAUCUCAGUGGGCUGCCAGGGCCUCUCUCUUCGCUACAACGACUUGCACACGCUGCUCCCCUACCAGUUUGCCCACCUCAACCAGCUCCUCUGGCUCUACAUGGACCACAACCAGAUCUCUUCUCUAGACAGUCGGGUCUUCCAGGGGGUUCGCAGGCUUAAAGAGCUGAUCCUCAGCUCCAACAAGAUCUCUCAGCUCCACAACGCCACCUUCCACGGGGUGCCCAACCUCCGCAGCCUGGACCUGUCCUACAACAAGCUGCAGGUGCUUCAGCCGGGGCAGUUCCAUGGCCUGAAGAAGCUGCAGAACCUCCACUUGCGCUCCAACGGCCUCACCAUAGUCCCCAUCCGGGCCUUCCUCGAAUGCCGCAGCCUGGAGUUUCUGGACCUGGGCUACAACCGACUCCGGGCCCUCACCAGGACCACUUUCCUGGGGUUACAGAGGCUCAUGGAGCUGCACCUGGAGCACAACCAGUUCUCCCGGAUCAACUUCUUUCUGUUUCCACGUCUUGCUAACUUGCGGGCGCUCUACCUGCAGUGGAACCGCAUCCGAGCAGUCAACCAGGGCCUUCCCUGGACUUGGCACACACUGCAGAAACUGGAUCUGUCUGGCAAUGAGAUCCAGACCCUGGACCCUGCCGUGUUCCACUGCCUGCCUAACCUCCAGACCCUCAACCUGGAGUCCAACAAGCUGUCCAACGUGUCCCAGGAGGCAGUGUCUGCAUGGAUCUCCCUGAACUCUAUCAACCUUGCAGGUAACGUGUGGGACUGUGGGACAGGCAUCUGCCCCCUGGUGGCCUGGCUGAGGAACUUUCGUGGCACUAAAGACACGACCAUGAUAUGCAGCAGCCCAAAGCAGCUCCAGGGAGAGAAGAUCAUGGAGGCUACGAGGAACAAUGGCAUUUGUGAGGAAACUGAUUACUUCCAGACAGAAACCCCUUCACCAACCCCGGAUUUCAUUGAAACGACACCUGACCCAACCCCUGCCCCCACCAGCCCACUUCCACCCCUGCUUCCACCUAUCACCCUGGCCCCCCUACCCCCACCUCGGCCUCAGUCCCCCCCCCGGCCUACUUUUCCCAGCCGGGUAAGGAUUGACCCCAGAGACUCCCCUCCCCGGGCUCCGCCCUCCCUCCGCAGCCUGGUGGUGACUCAGCCCCCAGAGCCGGAGCACAUGUCCUUCCACAAGGUGGUGGUGGGCAGCGUGGCACUUUUCUUCACCAUGUCACUCGUCCUCACCGUCAUCUACGUGUUAUGGAGGCGCUACCCGAAUGCGGCACGGCUCCUGCAGCAGCGCUCUGUGGUGGGCCGCAAGCGGCGGAAAAAGAGCCCGGAGCCUGAGCAAAACCUGAGCUCCCAGCUGCAGGAGUAUUACAUGAGCUACAAUCCAGCCGCCACCCCGGAUGGCUUGGAGGUGCUGGGCAACGGGACUGGCUCCUGCACCUGCACCAUCUCCGGCUCCAGGGAAUGCGAGGUAUGACCCAUCGCAUCAGCCUUUAAAAACAAAACCCAAAAAGCAAAAACACAAAGGCUCAAGAGAGAGAGAGUGAAUACACAUGUCCCCGUCCACUACCUGGAGCGUGGCUUGGAGACGUACCCGCCAUUCACUAGGAGACAUGUACGUUUUACCAGCCAGUUGCUAACAAGCAGAGGAAUCAGGGCCUACAACACUAUGGCUACCCCAUCACUGUCUGACCUGACAUUAUGGUGGCACUCUCUAAACAUCUGCUACAGACACAUGUCAAACUAUACCUCAACAGGCCCAUGGACAACAUCAUUUGGAAACAAGAAUGGCUUUCAUGAUCUCUACCACUCUGAAUAUUUAUGUUUUCUUUUACAAGGUCUAUAUACUCUUCCUGUAUCUUAGGUUCUCAGCUGCCCUACAGCAGUGUUCAUCCAACUAUGACUAAGGUUGCUGUUAAAGCAUUGGCCAUGUUAACUCUUUGAUUGGCCAAUUAGGCUGGUCCAGAUUGAGGGGGGUUGGAACACUUCACGUCUGCAGCACCUCUCUGACCGUUGGCAUGGAAACUUGGGACUCUGAUGGGGCAGUCUGUGCCACGAUGGGCGAUGUCACUCUGCUGGAGGCUGGUGGAGUGAAAAUGGGCCGUGGAGAAUAUGGACCAUUACAGUUAAUGAAAGUGACUAGUGGACAGGGCGAUGGCCGUCCAGACGCAGAUUGUCCUUUCUUUCCCGGUUAAGAACCACAGGCUUCACAGUGAAGUGUCAGCCCAGCAACGAUUUGAUGAUGUGCACUGAACAAGUAGCUCUGACUGCCUAGCAAAAUUAUAAUGUGCAACCUGCUGUGUGUAAUUUAAAAUACAUGUCCAUGGUUUUUCUUUGCUGUUGGACAACCCAUUAUUUGCAGUUGUGGUUUCGAAAAAUAUUCAUAAUUUCUAUUCUGCCAAGAUGGCUUUAAAACAAUCUACGCUCUCGGCUCAGAAGUGUUCAUGUGGAUUUUGUUUGCUUUAUAAGUUUACAGCGUGUACCUGUCUGUUGAGUAAUAUUUGAGUAAAGCUCUCAUUGUUCAUUUAGUCCCCUGGGGAGAGCUGCAUUCAAUAGCUGCAGGUACCUUUCUGAGAAGUCUGAGGAUCUAGUCUGGAGAACAGCUGAUCUUCCUGCCAAUCACACCUGGUGGUGGAGGAACUCAAUCUAUUCCCAGUCACACAGACAACUGUAAUUACACAUCUUGGCUCAGGACAGGAAAAAAAAAUUAAAAAAUAAAACUGAGACUCAAACUUCUCAACUGUAUAUGACUAUUUACAGUAUUAUUUGUUGCUACCAUCUCUCUCUGACACCAAAGGCCUUUAGGGGUGGGUGUUUUGGAUCUCUCUGUCUCGUGGGCACUGGGGAGAACUCUAGCUUUAGUGGUUCUGUCUCAUUAAAAGGACCAGAGGCUUUCACAGCAGAAACAUUUCAAAGCGGAGUUGCCUCGGGAUAUUCUCACUGAUAUGAGACUAGUGCCAUAGGGUGAGAACACUAUAGAGAUGGAUGUUCUGUAUGAGCCAUUCUAUCUGUGUGCGUGUAUGUUGAAUGAUGAUGAACGUUCCAGAGAGGUUUCCUUCAAUUUCUCUGGAAUCUUUGAAGAUGGAUGAAGCCUCAACGUUCUUAUAGUACUACCAUGCUCUUCUGCCAAAUCAACAUGCAUGUCUGUGUGGGUGGGUGUAUGUGUGUGUGUCUAGCGUGUCUGACUUCAUUCAUGAGUGUGCUUGCAAUGCGUGACAGUGGUUUUGAACCAGAGAUUAUGUAUGUGUGUCACAAAUACGGUUCAUGCCACUGCUAACAAAUUAUGAGUAACGCUGAAUACAUGCUGUGUCUACAUCAAAAUCUCCUUAAAAGGAUAUGUAAAAUCCCCUUGAAACGGAUGUCUGGAAUUUGUGUGUGUGUGUGUGUGUGUGUGUGUGUGUGUGUGUGUGUGUGUGUGUGUGUGUGUGUGUGUGUGUGUGUGUGUGUGUGUGUGUGUG